rnacentral:rRNA from 1 species
CUCUGUGACUCCUACGGGAGGCAGCAGUGGGGAAUAUUGCACAAUGGGCGCAAGCCUGAUGCAGCAACGCCGCGUGAGCGAUGAAGGCCUUCGGGUCGUAAAAGCUCUGUCCUCAAGGAAGAAUAAAUGACGGUACUUGAGGAGGAAGCCCCGGCUAACUACGUGCCAGCAGCCGCGGUAAUACGUAGGGGGCAAGCGUUAUCCGGAAUCACUGGGCGUAAAGGGUGCGUAGGUCGGUUUUUCAAGUCAGAAGUGAAAGGCUAUGGCUCAACCAUAGUAAGCUUUUGAAACUGUUAAACUUGAGUGCAGGAGAGGAAAGUGGAAUUCCUAGUGUAGAGGUGAAAUUCGUAGAUAUUAGGAGGAACACCAGUGGCGAAGGCGACUUUCUGGACUGUAACUGACGCUGAGGCACGAAAGCGUGGGGAGCGAACAGGAUUAGAUACCCUGGUAG